UACGUAGGGAGCAAGCGUUGUCCGGAAUCAUUGGGCGUAAAGCGCGCGUAGGCGGCCUCAUAAGUCCGUUGUGAAAGUCAAAGGCUCAACCUUUGAAAGCCGAUGGAUACUGUGAGGCUAGAGUCCGGAAGAGGCGAGUGGAAUUCCUGGUGUAGCGGUGGAAUGCGCAGAUAUCAGGAGGAACACCGGUGGCGAAGGCGGUUCUCUGGGCCUGUACUGACGCUGAGGCGCGAAAGCUAGGGGAGCAAACAGG
rnacentral:rRNA from 1 species